AUUUAUUAAUCGCAGAAGAGUCGAUUUUGUAAAAUUUCCAAGGAAAAACCAAUAUUUACUUUUUCGCUCCAUUGUUUGCUGUAGGUUCAUCAGGUUCAAACGAAAUGAACGUAAAAAUAUGAAAGUAGAGGUUUCGCCUUCCAAAGUUACCUCACACUGAUUCCUCUAGGAAUGAUCAUUUUUCAGAAACCUAUUCAAAAUUCAAAGAUGGACAAUUUCACUGGGAAGACUUUUCUGAUGCCUUAAUUAACAACGCUCGCAACGGGGAGCCGAUUUCUCCUGCUGGUUUUAACUCGAUUUCUGUAUGUAUUUACAAGAACUUUCUCGGCGUGCACGAGGGGACACGCAGCAAUCUAAAAUCUUGAUCAACAGGGGACAGAGAAGCAGAAGAAGAGAAAAUUCGGACGUUUCUAUUGUUUUAAAAAACAUUGACCAGCAUCCAAGGAACUCUUGGACUUGUGCAUAUCACUGCGGUCGAUCGACCUGCGUACUUCGUCUCGAAACAAAGAUAAUUUGCUUAUCGCAAGUUCGUUUCACGUUUUAUCAACAACGAGUGACAAAAUUCGAUUGGACGCGCGUGCAAUGUUUCGGUCGUUAAAUUUUGUUACUUCGAACGUGGGAGAAGCGACGAAAGAAAAUUUGUAACUGAUAAUUAUAAUAUGAAAUAUUACGAAAGCUGGAUAUUAACAAGAAAAU